rnacentral:rRNA from 1 species
GAGUUGUUAUCUGAACCUCCUCAAAAGGGGGGCUAGGGUAGCAGUAGUCAUCAUCAAAGUCCACCUUGACAUUCUCUUGGUGCGUACUGGGUGUUGACCUCCUUUUUUUCUGUGAAUUGCUAUCUAGCAAUAGGUAGUUAGUUCCAGAUAGUUUACUUUGAAAAAAUUAGAGUGUUCAAAGCAGGCACAACCUGGCAUCAUGAAUACAUUAGCAUGGGAUAAUAGAAUAUGACAUUGGUCUUAUUUUGUUGGUUUCUAAGGCCAAAGUA